rnacentral:rRNA from 1 species
AACGCUAGCUACAGGCUUAACACAUGCAAGUCGAGGGGCAGCAUGCAGGAAGCUUGCUUCCUGCGAUGGCGACCGGCGGAUGGGUGAGUAACGCGUAUCCAACCUGCCCCGUGCUCGGGGACAGCCCUUAGAAAUGAGGAUUAACCCCCGAUGGCGUGGAUUUUCCGCAUGGGAUUUCCACUAAAGUUUACGGCACGGGAUGGGGAUGCGUUCCAUUAGAUGGUAGGCGGGGCAACGGCCCACCUAGUCUACGAUGGAUAGGGGUUCUGAGAGGAAGGUCCCCCACAUUGGAACUGAGACACGGUCCAAACUCCUACGGGAGGCAGCAGUGAGGAAUAUUGGUCAAUGGACGGAAGUCUGAACCAGCCAAGUAGCGUGAAGGAAGACUGCCCUAUGGGUUGUAAACUUCUUUUAUAAGGGAAUAAAGUGUGCCACGUGUGGUGCUUUGCAUGUACCUUAUGAAUAAGCAUCGGCUAAUUCCGUGCCAGCAGCCGCGGUAAUACGGAGGAUGCGAGCGUUAUCCGGAUUUAUUGGGUUUAAAGGGAGCAUAGACGGGUUGUUAAGUCAGUUAUGAAAGUUUGCGGCUCAACCGUAAAAUUGCAGUUGAUACUGGCGACCUAGAGUGCGGCAGAGGAAGGCGGAAUUCGUGGUGUAGCGGUGAAAUGCUUAGAUAUCACGAAGAACUCCGAUUG